CUCACACUAAUGACAUUAAUAGCACAAGAUCGAUCACUAGCUGUCAGUUCGCUACCUCCAAGGAAAGAUAAAGAUGAUGCUCCUAUUAUUCUCGCUAUCAUGAUAUCUGAAACCCCUUUAGCUUUGAGCCGUAGACUGGAUUGUAGUACUUUAUAUGAGAAGCAUCCAUGUACAAAGAAUUGGGUUCUUUUACCACCAAUAGACUCUUUUAGCUUUUGUUCCUUGCUAGAAUUGUGACCUGAACUCAUCCAACAUUUGUAUCAGUUAUCAAGUGGCACACAAGUUAUAACAUUUACUGAUGUUCCGUGGAACAACUCUCUUGUCAGGAACAUGGAGUUUGGAUCAUCUAUAUAUACUUGAGAUGGGUGGAGGUAGCAGUUUCAGCUGAACUUGGAAGCACCUUCAUGUCCACCAUGCGAAGGCCGAUGAUUGCAAAAUCGACUAGACUAAUUCGGGAGGUAAAGAAUGGGCAAGCAAGACUUGGGAAGCAACAGCAUGGAGCAGUAAAUGAUGCAUCAUGGUGGAUUCCUCAUCCAAGGACAGGGAUAUACUACCCCAAGGGGCAUGAAUGGGUGAUGGAAGAUGUGCCUGAGGGUGCUUCCUCCUUCCCAAGAACCUACUGGCUUAGGAGCUCUGAAGGGGUGGAGAAAGACUCUGAUCUCUCCACCUGCCCCGACUACAAUCACCCAUUCCUUGACGUAUGAGGAGCUUAGUAUCAUAGAACUAGCAGCAGUAACAACAGCAACAGUGUUCUACUUGCGGAGAAAUAAAGACUUCAGUAGCGUGUUGUCUCACAAUUGCUAUCGAGGAAUGAAUUAUCUACUGAA